rnacentral:rRNA from 1 species
GAUGAACGCUGGCGGCGUGCCUAAUACAUGCAAGUCGAGCGAACGGACGAGAAGCUUGCUUCUCUGAUGUUAGCGGCGGACGGGUGCGUAACACGUGGAUAACCUACCUAUAAGACUGGGAUAACUUCGGGAAACCGUAGCUAAUACCGGAUAAUAUUUUGAACCGCAUGGUUCCCAAGUGAAAGACGCUCUUGCUGUCACUUAUAGCUGGAUCCGCGCUGCAUUAGCUAGUUGGUAAGGUAACGGCUUACCAAGGCAACGAUGCAUAGCCGACCUGAGAGGGUGAUCGGCCACACUGGAACUGAGACACGGUCCAGACUCCUACGGGAGGCAGCAGUAGGGAAUCUUCCGCAAUGGGCGAAAGCCUGACGGAGCAACGCCGCGUGAGUGAUGAAGGUCUUCGGAUCGUAAAACUCUGUUAUUAGGGAAGAACAUAUGUGUAAGUAACUGUGCACAUCUUGACGGUACCUAAUCAGAAAGCCACGGCUAACUACGUG